rnacentral:rRNA from 1 species
AUGCUAGAGCGUUUUCGGGGGGAAGAAGUAAUCUACCAUAGCUUUGAUAGUGCAGAAGACGACCCAUAUGGCUACUACGCUCCCGAGUUCCUAAAUGGAUUGACUCCCAAUGGUCUGCCUCCGCAUGCACUCAAACUGAAGCUCAACUGCCCUGUCAUACUUCUGAGGAACAUUGAUCCGGCUAAUGGUCUAUGUAACGGGACGAGGCUUGUGGUGCGAGGUUUCGAGAGGAACGCCAUCGACGCAGAAAUUGUGAUUGGACAACACGCAGGAAGGAGGGUAUUCCUUCCUCGAAUACCCCUAUGCCCGUCUGACAACGACAUGUUUCCAUUCAAGUUCAAGAGGAAGCAAUUUCCUGUAAGGCUUAGCUUUGCUAUGACGAUUAACAAGGCUCAAGGACAGACGAUUCCGAUUGUUGGCGUGUACCUACCUAAUCCGGUGUUUUCUCAUGGUCAACUCUAUGUCGCAUUGUCUCGAGCCACCGCGAAGAGAAAUAUAAAGAUCCUCAUUGAGAAGGACAAGGAGAAUGCCAAGAAGCAAAGCAGUAAAUCAAAGAAGCGAAAAAGACCUACCUUGUUCUUACAAACCUUGAUGAAGAACAUCGUCUAUAAGGAAGUCCUUACAGGCUGA